CAGCCGCCGCGGUAAUACGAAGGGGGCUAGCGUUGUUCGGAUUAACUGGGCGUAAAGGGCGCGUAGGCGGGUUUUUAAGUCAGGGGUGAAAUCCCAAGGCUCAACCUUGGAACUGCCUUUGAUACUGGAAGUCUUGAGUCCGGGAGAGGUGAGUGGAACUGCGAGUGUAGAGGUGAAAUUCGUAGAUAUUCGCAAGAACACCAGUGGCGAAGGCGGCUCACUGGCCCGGUACUGACGCUGAGGCGCGAAAGCGUGGGGAGCAAACAGGAUUAGAUACCCCUGUAGUCCCUGUCUCUUAUAC
rnacentral:rRNA from 1 species